UACGUAGGGGGCUAGCGUUGUCCGGAAUCAUUGGGCGUAAAGAGCGUGUAGGCGGCCCGGUAAGUCCGCUGUAAAAGUCAAAGGCUCAACCUUUGAAUGUCAGUGGAUACUGCCGGGCUAGAGUCCGGAAGAGGCGAGUGGAACUCCUGGUGUAGCGGUGGAAUGCGCAGAUAUCCGGAAGAACACCGGUGGCGAAGGCGGCCUGCUGGGCAGUAGCUGACGCUGAGGCGCGACAGCGUGGGGAGCAAACAGG
rnacentral:rRNA from 1 species